GCAAAGAAUAAGGUUUCAUCAAGAAGCAUGAGGACCUGGUGUAGUGAUGUGUGAUGAUGCUCGAGGUUCCAGUAUUAAAACAUAGAUUACAGAUGAUUUGUGAAGAUGCUUGAGAUUCCACCAUUAAAACAGAUGAUGUGUGAAGAUGCUCGAGGUUCCAGUAUUAAAACAUAGGUUACAGAUGAUGUGUGAAGAUGCUUGAGAUUCCACCAUUAAAACAGAUGAUGUAUGAAGAUGCUCGAGGUUCCAGUAUUAAAACAUAGGUUACAGAUGAUGAUGUGUGAAGAUGCUCGAGGUUCCAGUAUUAAAACAUAGAGUACAGAUGAUGUGUGAUGAUGAUCGAGGUUCCAGUAUUAAAACAUAGGUAACAGAUGAUGAUGUGUGAUGAUACUCGAAGUUCCAGUAUUAAAAUAUAGAUUACAGAUGAUGUGUGAAGAUGCUUGAGGUUUCACCAUUAAAACAUAGAGUACAGAUGAUGUGUGAAGAUGCUCGAGGUUACACUAACAAAAAUGAAGUUCAAGUGAUGUGUAGAGAUGCUUGAUGUUCCAGCAUGAAACAUGAAAUACAGAUGGUAUGUAAGGAUGCUCGAGGUUCCAACGUGAAACAUGAAAUACAGAUGGUAUAUAAGGAUGUUCGAGGUUCCAACGUGAAACAUGAAAUGCAGAUGGUAUAUAAGGAUGUUCGAGGUUCCAGCGUGAAACAUGAAGUUCAAGUGAUGUGUAAAGAGAAAGAUGCUUGA